CAGCCGCCGCGGUAAUACGUAGGGUGCGAGCGUUAAUCGGAAUUACUGGGCGUAAAGCGUGCGCAGGCGGUUAUAUAAGACAGAUGUGAAAUCCCCGGGCUCAACCUGGGACCUGCAUUUGUGACUGUAUAGCUAGAGUACGGUAGAGGGGGAUGGAAUUCCGCGUGUGGCAGUGAAAUGCGUAGAUAUGCGGAGGAACACCGAUGGCGAAGGCAAUUCCCUGGACCUGUACUGACGCUCAUGCACGAAAGCGUGGGGAGCAAACAGGAUUAGAUACCCGCGUAGUCCCUGUCUCUUAUAC
rnacentral:rRNA from 1 species